rnacentral:misc_RNA from 1 species
AACAUCGCGCACCUGCGGGAACCUGCGGAGGGAUCAUUAAUGAUUGGUGGCUGUUGCUGACUAGUGUUUCUAGUAUGUGCACGCCACACCUUCAAUCCCACUUACACCUGUGCACCUUCUGUAAUAGAUUUAUGUGGAUACGGAGAUGUGAAAGUUUGCGCUCUCCUACUCUGUUGAAGCAGUCUACUACGUUUUUUUACACACACACACACAAUAGUCAUUGAAUGUAUUUUUUAUUCU